rnacentral:rRNA from 1 species
GUCCACGCCGUAAACGAUGGAUACUAGCUGUUGGGAGCAAUCUCAGUGGCUAAGCGAAAGUGAUAAGUAUCCCACCUGGGGAGUACGUUCGCAAGAAUGAAACUCAAAGGAAUUGACGGGGGCCCGCACAAGCGGUGGAGCAUGUGGUUUAAUUCGAUGAUACGCGAGGAACCUUACCAAGGCUUAAAUGUAGAUUGACCGGACUGGAAACAGUUUUUUCGCAAGACAAUUUACAAGGUGCUGCAUGGUUGUCGU